CCUACGGGAGGCAGCAGUGGGGAAUAUUGCGCAAUGGGCGAAAGCCUGACGCAGCGACGCCGCGUGAGGGAUGAAGGUCUUCGGAUCGUAAACCUCUGUCAGCAGGGACGAACGGUCACUGUGCUAAUCAGCAGUGAAUUGACGGUACCUGCAAAGUAAGCACCGGCUAACUCCGUGCCAGCAGCCGCGGUAAUACGGAGGGUGCGAGCGUUAAUCGGAAUUACUGGGCGUAAAGCGCUCGUAGGCGGUAGGUCAAGUCAAGGGUGAAAUCCCCGGGCUUAACGUGGGAACUGCCUUUGAGACUGGCAGACUGGAGUGUGUGAGAGGAUAGUGGAAUUCCAGGUGUAGGAGUGAAAUCCGUAGAUAUCUGGAAGAACAUCAGUGGCGAAGGCAGCUAUCUGGGACGUAACUGACGCUGAGGAGCGAAAGCGUGGGUAGCAAACAGGAUUAGAUACCCCAGUAGUC
rnacentral:rRNA from 1 species